GGGUAAUCUUCCUCCGAAUCUGGGAUAACUUUCCGAAAGGAAAGCUAACACCGGAUAGUUCUAUUGGAUCACAGGAUUUGAUAGAUAAAGGUUUACUGUUCGGAGAUGAGCCCGCGGCCGAUUAGCUAGUUGGUGAGGUAAUGGCUCACCAAGGCGACGAUCGGUAGCCGGCCUGAGAGGGUGUCCGGCCACAAUGGAACUGAUACACGGUCCAUACUCCUACGGG
rnacentral:rRNA from 1 species